rnacentral:rRNA from 1 species
GACGAACGCUGGCGGCGUGCUUAACAUAUGCAAGUCGAACGGAAAGGCCCUGCUUGCAGGGUACUCGAGUGGCGAACGGGUGAGUAACACGUGGGUGAUCUGCCCUGCACUUCGGGAUAAGCCUGGGAAACUGGGUCUAAUACCGGAUAGGAGCCAUUUUUAGUGUGAUGGUUGGAAAGUUUUUUCGGUGUAGGAUGAGCUCGCGGCCUAUCAGCUUGUUGGUGGGGUAAUGGCCUACCAAGGCGGCGACGGGUAGCCGGCCUGAGAGGGUGGACGGCCACAUUGGGACUGAGAUACGGCCCGGACUCCUACGGGAGGCAGCAGUGGGGAAUAUUGCACAAUGGGCGCAAGCCUGAUACAGCGACGCCGCGUGGGGGAUGACGGCCUUCGGGUUGUAAACUCCUUUCGCUAGGGACGAAGCUUUUUGUGACGGUACCUAGAUAAGAAGCACGGGCUAACUACGUG